rnacentral:rRNA from 1 species
GUUAUCGUUUAUUUGAUAGUACCUUACUACUUGGAUAACCGUGGUAAUUCUAGAGCUAAUACAUGCUAAAAACCCCAACUUCGGGAGGGGUGUAUUUAUUAGAUAAAAAACCAACGCCCUUCGGGGCUUCUUGGUGAUUCAUGAUAACUUAACGGAUCGCAUGGCCUUGCGCCGGCGACGGUUCAUUCAAAUUUCUGCCCUAUCAACUUUCGAUGGUAAGGUAUUGGCUUACCAUGGUUUCAACGGGUAACGGGGAAUUAGGGUUCGAUUCCGGAGAGGGAGCCUGAGAAACGGCUACCACAUCCAAGGAAGGCAGCAGGCGCGCAAAUUAUCCAAUCCCGACACGGGGAGAUAGUGACAAUAAAUACUGAUACAGGGCUCUUUUGGGUCCUGUAAUUGGAAUGAGUACAAUUUAAACCUCUUAACGAGGAACAAUUGGAGGGCAAGUCUGGUGCCAGCAGCCGCGGUAAUUCCAGCUCCAAUAGCGUAUAUUAAAGUUGUUGCAGUUAAAAAGCUCGUAGUUGAACCUUGG